CCCUUAGAUGUUCUGGGCCGCACGCGCGCUACACUGAUGCAUUCAACGAGUCUAAAACCUGGUCUGAUAGGGCUGGGUAAUCUUUUGAAAGUGCAUCGUGAUUGGGAUAGAUGAUUGCAAUUCUUCAUCUUCAACGAGGAAUGCCUAGUAAACGCAAGUCAUCAGCUUGCAUUGAUUACGUCCCUGCCCUUUGUACACACCGCCCGUCGCUCCUACCGAUUGAAUGGUUUAGUGAGAUCUCUGGAUUGACGCUGGCUAGGGGGCGACCCUUGGCCAGGCUGUCGAGAAACUGCUCAAACUUGAUCAUUUAGAGGAAGUAAAAGUCGUAACA
rnacentral:rRNA from 1 species